rnacentral:lncRNA from 1 species
CAUCCAGCAAUAUCCAGCUAUUACCCGCAGUCUGCCCAUCUCCUGGGAAACCCAAAAUUCUUCCAUUGGGUAUUCCAGGACUUCCUGCCUGCAGAGACCCUCAGUAGAAGCACUGCACGCCCUGCUGUGAACACUUCCUGGAGGUUCAGAGAGAGUUAGGUAUAACUGACCUACUAUGGGCAUCCCUAUAAUAGUAGUUAUAUUCUCAUGUAUAUGUAAAAUAGAACUCUUAAAAUGGUGAAAUUUCAGGGCUCAAUUCCCUAGGAGAAUUUACCCUUGCCUGACUUCUAUUUGUAGCCUCCAUUUAAAACUUGGGGUAUAAAUAUUGUGUCAGUUAAAUAAAGGAGUGAUGACUUCACUUUUCGAAGACAGCAUUACCUUCCCUUUCAUGAAAUGUAGCUUAACCGUUAUUUGAUUGACACACUAUUAUAUUAUUCUCCCCCCACCCGACAGUUACACAUAUUUAAUAAAUUUUAUGUAUAAAAAGUAAGGUUAAGCAGUUUCAAAGUCAAGUUGUUAUGCUUUGCAUGGUUUUGAGAAUGAUCGUGGAAAUGAAAUGACAUGAGUGGUAGUAGGAAGUGGUAGCAGUGAUGAAUCUCAUAGGGCAUGGGAUUGUUCUUGGGCAGAGGAAGUCCCAGUGGCACAUGCUGGGACAGCGAAGAAUAAAUCUUAUAAAAAGCCUUGAGAAUAGGGCAAAAGAAUCACUCACCUUUGUAUGUAUGAAUGGUUUCUCUGAAUAAGUUGAAUAUACAUUUUUUAAAAAAGACAGUAAAGGAAGCAAACUGUGAGAAUGUGGCAGAACUUCCCCAGUGGAUGUUGUCAGUGGAUGGUGUUCAUUUAAACUCUCUCCCUCCAGACCUCUCCUGUGUGUACCCCUAACCUCCUCUCUCACCUCUUCUCAUCUUUACUCCCCUCACAGUAUCUUCCAUUCUGAGGUCUCAGUAAACAAUUUAGUGUGUCUAAUAAAUAUAAAUAUCAAGUAGACCUAUGUGUCAGAACACAAAGAUUUAUAUGCUUUCUCUUGCUUUCAGUCAAAACCCAGUCUCCUGUUUCCACUUUCCAUUGUCUGUCUACUUAUUCGCGGCCCUGCCUUUUAUUUUCUCUCAUUGCACAGUCGCUUGAAACCCAUGGAUUUAUACAAAGUUUAGAAAGGUGGGCAAGAUUGCCCCUCAAAUUUGUAGGACCAUGAUACAUUGCUAUAUUUUCAAGAAAUACUCACCAUAUUCAGAUUAUGUUGGGAUGAGUCAGGCAUCUUUGCUUCUUUAUAGUGAAAUGCGUGUGCUUCAUGAUUCCAAAUACCCACACUUUGCUGUUUCUCCUGUUUAAAAGGACUGACUCCGAUUUCUGACUCUGAUUUCUGCUGUGUGAUCUCAGCUAACUUACUAAACCUUUCUGAGCUCUGGUUUUCUUCCUCCACAAUAUGAGGCUAAUUAUGGGAACCACUUUAUAGAAUGGUUGUGAAGGAUUAAAUGACGAUUUUAAUAAAAUGAUUACCAAGGUACCUGGCAUACAGAAGUCCUAAAAAAAAUGGUAAAGAUUAUUAUUAGAAAGAAAUUUGAACUUUACAAAUCUGUAAUUGGUGUUUAAAGAUAUUAUUGUCAAUAUUACAUUUCUCUUAAGAUGUUACCUAUUGCAGUUUUCAAUGAGGCAAGUUAUAGAGAUGUCUGAGACAAAAAAAACAAAAAAACAAAAAAACAAAAACAAAACAAAACUAAGGUGAAAUAAAUAAUGUGGCAAAGUACCAUGUAUUUAAUAUUUGGUAGUCAUGAUCCUGUACAAGCCUCGUUGCUUUGAGAGUAAAUGCUGCCAGUGUAAAAGCCAGCUCUGAUUGAUGUUUUAUCAUUUUAUUAUUUAACUUUAUGCUGUGCUUUCAUUCCAAAUUUUCUUAUGUACUUGGCUGGAUGAUCAAGGAAGCUCUCAGUCUGACUUAUGUUUCUACUGAAAAUGAAAACCAAAUAUCACUAGAGGAGAUAAUGAACAGAGGUUAAGUAUUUUGAGGAGAGGACCUAGGAAAUGCAAAGGAAUAUUUCCUAAAUGUGUUUACUUGUUUCCAUUUCUUGUAUGACUAAGUAAGGUAUACUGAACCUGACAUUUUCACAGAUAACAACUAAAAAGUAUGGGGGGAAAAUUACCUGAAGGGCCUAGGAAGUGAACAUAAGCAUGUAGAUUCUAAAAGAGAAUUGAAAUUCAAAACUUGGAAGCAGGGACCAGUGCACAUGAGUUCCCCAUUUUACAACUAUUAGACUUGAGGGUAUGUUGAAGUUAACGUCACUUGGGUGGUGAACUCCAGAUAAACAUAGUCUUUUUGGUUUGAAAGAACCAAAGAAUAGGGUUCAGGGCAACCAGAGAGGGGAAUCUUCAAUGUAUAAAUUCAAUGUAUAAAUACAAUGUAUAAAUACAAUCUGGGAGUUCCCCUUGUGGCUCAGUGGUUAACCCGACUAGUAUCCAUGAAGACUUGAAUUUGAUCCCUGGCCUCGCUCAGUGGGUCGAGGAUCUGGUGUUGCCAUGAGCUGUGGUGUAGCUCACAGAUUCGGCUCAGAUCCAGCAUUGCUGUGGCUGUGACUUAGGAUGGAAGUACAGCUCAGAUUGGAACUCUAGCCUGGUAACCUCCAUAUUCCAUGGGUGCGGUC